AAAAGCUCACCGCGGCAGCGAUCAGCAGCUGGUCUGAGAGGACGAUCAGCCACACUGCGACUGAGACACCGCCCAUACUCCUACGGGAGGCAGCAGUGGGGAAUCUUUCCGCAAUGAGCGACAGCCUGACGGAGCAAGACCGCGUGAGGGAGGAAGGCUCUUGGGUUGCAAACCUCUUUCCUCAGGAAAGAAGCUCUGACCGUACCUGAGGAAUCAGCCUCGGCUAACUCCGUACCAGCCGCCGCGGUAAUACGGAGGAGGCAAGCGUUAUCCGGAAUUAUUGGGCGCAAAGCGUCCGCAGGAGGCGAUUCAAGUCUGCUGUCAAAGCACGGGGCUUAACUCCGUUAAGGCAGUGGAAACUGAAUAGCUACAGUGCCGUAGGGGUAGAGGGAAUUCCCGGUGUAGCGGUGAAAUGCGUAGAGAUCGGGAAGAACAUCGGUGGCGAAAGCGCUCUACUGGACGGCAACUGACACUCAGGGACUAAAGCUAGGGGAGCGAAUGGGAUUAGAUACCCCAGUAGUCCUAGCUCUAAACGAUGGAUACUAGGUGUAGGUUGUAUCUACCCGAGCUGUGCGGAAGCUAACGCGUUAUGUAUCCCGCUUCGGGAGUACGCACUCAAGUGUGAAUCUCAAAGGAAUUGACGGGGGUCCGCACAACCGGUGGAGUAUAUGGUUUAAUUUGAUGCAACGCGAAGAACCUUACCAGGGCUUGACAUGUCCGGAAUCCCGGUGAAAGAUAGGAGUGCCUUCGGGAGCCGGAACACAGAUGGUGCAUGGCUGUCGUCAGCUGUUGUCGUGAGAUGUUGGGUUAAGUCCCGCAACGAGCGCAACCCUCGUCUUUAGUUGCCAGCAUCAAUUUGGGCACUCUAGAGAGACUGCCGGUGCCAAACCGGAGGAAGGUGGGGAUGAC
rnacentral:rRNA from 1 species